CUGAAUAACUCAGCAGAUCGCACGGUCUUGCACCGGCGACGCAUCUUUCAAGUGUCUGCCUUAUCAACUGUUGAUGGUAGUUUAUGCGACUACCAUGGUUGUAACGGGUAACGGAGAAUAAGGGUUCGACUCCGGAGAGGGAGCCUGAGAAACGGCUACCACAUCCAAGGAAGGCAGCAGGCGCGUAAAUUACCCACUCUCGGCACGAGGAGGUAGUGACGAAAAAUAACGAGAUGGUUCUCAUUGAGGAUCAUUAUCGGAAUGAGUACAAUCCAAACCCUUUAACGAGGAUCUAUCAGAGGGCAAGUCUGGUGCCAGCAGCCGCGGUAAUUCCAGCUCUGAAGGUGUAUACCUACGUUGUUGCGGUUAAAAC
rnacentral:rRNA from 1 species